UGAUCCAUUUCGCUUUAUGGCGUGCUCGUUUGGGUUGGGCGUCGGCUAAGAGUGCUCGGAGCGUGGAUUAACUCCAGUCUCCAAUCAGGUGUGUAUUUAUCACUACUCUUGUUGUUGGAUGGCUACUUCGGGCCGCGAUGGGCCGAAAGGGGCCAUGUGGGCCCAAUGGGCCUACGGGCCCAAUUGGAUAAGUUGUUUGAUUGUGUAGUAAAUAUUGGACUAGGCUAGGUGAAUCGCAUAUCUGUGGCUAGGUUUGGGCUAAAAGGGCCACACGAGCAUGUGGGCCUAUUUGGGCCGAGAAUAGGCUUUAGGCCCAUUCGUAUUGUUGUCCAUGUUUAGAAUACUUUAGUUUACCAAUUACUGAAAUGCCCUCGACUUGUAAAAUUACCAAAGUACUCCCAAUUUACAGAAUUACCGUUUUACCCUCGAUUUACAGAAUUACCAUUUUACCCUCGAUUUUUAAAAUUACCAUUUUACCCUCAAUUUAUAGAAUUACCGUUUUACCUUCAGUUUAUAGAAUUACCGUUUUACCCUCGAUUUACAGAAUUAUCGUUUUACCCUCGAUUUACAGAAUUACCAUUUUACCCUUGAUUUAUAGAAUUACCGUUUUACCCUCAGUUUACAGAAUUACUAUUUUACCCUCGAUUUAUAGAAUUACCGUUUUACCCUCGAUUUGUAAAAUUACCAUUUUACCCUCGAUUUACAGAAUUACCAUUUUACCCUCAGUUUACAGAAUUACUAUUUUACCCUCGAUUUACAAAAUUACCAUUUUACCCUCGAUUUGUAAAUUUACUGUUUUACCCUUGAUUUACAGAAUUACUAGUUUACCCUCAGUUUACAAAUUAUCGUUUUACCCUCGAUUUACAGAAUUACCGUUUUACCCUCGAUUGUGAAAUUACUGAAAUACCCCUGUAAGGUAGAAUUUUCGAAAUACCCCUAUAGGGUAGAAUUAUUGAAAUACCCUUAUAGGGUAGAAAUACCGAAAUACCCCUGUAGGGUAGAAUUAUCGAAAUACCCUUGUGGGGUAAAAUUACCAUUUUGCCCCUAGGAUGUUAAAUGACUGUUUUGCCCUUGUGGGCAAGUGACUGACUUGGACUGUGUGUUUGACGGAUUUGAUUGUAAAUAUAUGUUGGUGAUAUGAAUGACUUGACUGUGAUUGUUUGAUUCAAAUAUGGGCAUUACAUUCUGCAUACAUGACAUGUUGCAUGGGUUGGGAUUUUGUACGGAGGAAGCAUUCUGGUGGCUAUGCCACAAAUAUCUGUUCUGGUGGCUCUGCCACAAUAUCUGUAUCUGGUGACUCUGUCACAAUAUCUGUUGACCGAUCGAUGGUUGAGUGCCGAUCACGUUACCGAAGGCUGUGUGCCGUUGUUGUGGGCUUCGUGCCGAUUAUAGACCCGUUAUUAAUGGCUCUGUACCAACCUAAAUAUGGCUUUGAGUCAUCUUGACUAUGGCUUCGUGCCAAACGUAUUUACCUGUAGCCAUGUGCCUAACAUAUUUGUUGACGACUCUGUGUCGAUCAUAUUUACCGAAGGCUGUGAGCCAGUUAUAUUACCGUCACUGAUGGCUAUAUGCCGAAGUUAUUACAGUUAUCUAUGGCUUUGUGCCACGUAUUCUGUUAGGUGGGUUUCCCACAUUAUCUGAUUCUGGUGGCUCUACCACAAUAUCUGUAUCUGGUGACUCUGUCACGAUAUCUGUUCUGGUAGCCAUGCUGCAAAUUCUGUGGUGUAGCGGAUGGGUGGGUCGAGUUGUCUCCCCACAUGGUGUAAGGUUGGUACGGGGGUGUAUACGGCUGGAUUGGGUUGGGAUUGUAUUCACAUUCUGAUUCUGAUUUUGUCACGUAAUUCUGAUUCUGAUUUUGAUUCUGUUACUAAUACUGAUUCUGAUUCUGAUUCUGAUUCUGUACCUAAUUCUGAUUCUGAUUCUGAUUCUGUUACUAAUACUGAUUCUGAUUCUGAUUCUGUUACUGAUUCUGAUUCUGAUUCUCAUUUUGGUUCCAAUUCUGAUAAUGUUUUUUAUUCUGUAAUGGGCUAAGGUCCAUCUGGUACUGUCUGUUGUAAUGGGCUAAGGCCGAUUGGUACUGAAAUUGUAAGUAAGGCUGGGGCCAGACUUUUAAUUCUUUUAGAUGAUUAACUGUUUCUUUUUAUAGUAGGGGAUUUCACACUGAGUUUUCAUAAACUCACCCCGUUUAUUAACCUUUCAGGUAAUUUCCAGCCUUAGAUAGAUCGGGGCUGCGAGGGGCUCGGAGGAAGCCACACACACUAUUUAUGUUACAGUUUUGAUUAUUACCUUUAAAUUAUUUUAUGUGGGUUGUAGUAAAGCCGUUGUAAUUUUUUGGAUUUCAAAUUUGGAAUUUUAUUUAUUGUUUUUAUAAUUGCUAGUAUUAGAACACGAUUUUCUAAAGCAACUACUGUUGUUCAAAACAUCACGUAACCGCAAUUGUUUUUAAAGUAAGUUUCCGCAACUACCAAGAUUUUUACAAAGUUUUUAAGAAUGUUAUUCAGCUGAGGUUUUCUAACAAUGUUUAAAAAGGGUAUAAGUUUUUAAUUAUUAAGAAGGGUUUUUAAUGGAAACAUGGUUUUCGAAAAACACUUCAAUGUGACACGCCAAGUUCGAGCCAAACUUCCAGGCCGGGUUUGGGGUGCUACAUUUAGUGGUAUCAGAGCCUGGGUUGCAACAACUCUGCUGUGGAUUGGGUUUUCAAAGGUUGAAUUUUAGAAAAUUAUUUUCAACCACGUGGUCUGUUUGAAGUAUUUCUCUUAAAAAGUGUGGCACACCGAGUCUCCGGCGCCGAAUCCGUAAGUCUUCUGAAUACUUUUGUCCAUUUAGAAAUUGAAAUACUAUGGAUUCCUUAGAUAUUGGUUUGAAUUUAAAUUUGGUAUUUAUUUUAUGUGGAUGUGAUGUUUAGAUAUAGAAAUUGUAUAUAUGUGUGCUAAAUAUGUGUCUGCUUCAGUGAAUACGUGUUGUAUGUAUGAGAUGUUUCAAGUUCUAGUUGAAGUGUGAUAGUGAUAGUAGGAUCAGAGUGCGCAGCGGUAGCGUAGUGGGGUAGAUGUUACACGACUACCCUGUUAGAUAGAAAUUUCGAGGAUGAAAUUUCUUUAAGGGAGGUAGAGUUGUAACACCCUGAAUUUGGGCCUAGAAGUUUUGGGCCUUGAGCAUGGGAGCGGUUGAAGGCAGCUUAUAAUAUUCUGUUGUGCAUGCAAAUUUCGUUAAUGAAGGCUUGUUUUAGUGGUUAAGUGUGUUGAGAAGUGUUGGAGAAGUCCUGGGUUUAAACCUGGACUCUAGCAAAAAAAUUGGUUUAAGGUGAAUCAAACCCUGGGUGUAGUAGGUAGGCCUUAAGAAUAUUGUUGGAGAAAUUGUGACACAAAAAAGCCUUGUGGUCUAGUGGCAAAGGAGCGCCACAUAAGAGGCAGGAAGGUGGCAUCAUAGAGUUGGCAAGGAGGUCUAGGGUUCGAAUCCCAUGGCAAGCAAAGAGCAUUUAUUUUGCUAACAGGGGGCGGCAAGAGUUGGUGUUGAAUUUAAACUCUGAUGUUGGAGGGAUCCCACAUCGGGAAGCUAACAUAAGAGUGGAUGGGAAGCUGGCUUUAAAUAGAGAGAACCAUGAGGAGAGUAAAGGUACCUUUCUUGGCUGAUCCCUUUCGCUUUAUUGCGUGCUCGUUUGGGUUGGGCGUCGGCUAAGAGUGCUCAGAGCGUGGAUUAACUCCAGUCUCCAAUCAGGUGUGUAUUUAUCACUACUCUUGUUGUUGGAUGGCUACUUCGGGCCACGAUGGGCCGAAAGGGGCCAUGUGGGCCCAAUGGGCCUACGGGCCCAAUUGGAUAAGUUGUUUGAUUGUGUAGUAAAUAUUGGACUAGGCUAGGUGAAUCGCAUAUUUGUGGCUAGGUUUGGGCUAAAAGGGCCACACGAGCGUGUGGGCCCAUUUGGGCCGAGAAUAGGCUUUAGGCCCAUUCGUAUUGUUAUCCAUGUUUAGAAUACUUUAGUUUACCAAUUACUGAAAUGCCCUCGACUUGUAAAAUUACCAAAGUACUCCCGAUUUACAGAAUUACCGUUUUACCCUCGAUUUAUAGAAUUAUCGUUUUACUCUCGAUUUUUAAAAUUACCGUUUUACCCUCGAUUUACAGAAUUACAGUUUUACCUUCGGUUUACAGAAUUAUCGUUUUACCCUCGAUUUAUAGAAUUAUCGUUUUACCCUCAGUUUACAGAAUUACUGUUUUACCCUCGAUUUAUAGAAUUACUGUUUUACCCUCGAUUUGUAAAAUUACCGUUUUACCCUCGAUUUACAAAAUUACCAUUUUACCCUCAGUUUACAGAAUUACUAUUUUACCCUCGAUUUACAGAAUUACCAUUUUACCCUCGAUUUGUAAAAUUACUAUUUUACCCUUGAUUUACAGAAUUACUGGUUUACCCUCAGUUUACAAAUUAUCGUUUUACCCUCAAUUUACAGAAUUACCGUUUUACCCUCAAUUGUGAAAUUACUGAAAUACCCCUGUAGGGUAGAAUUUUUGAAAUACCCCUAUAGGGUAGAAUUACUGAAAUACCCUUAUAGGAUAGAAUUACCAAAAUGCCCCUGUAGGGUAGAAUUAUCGAAAUACCCUUGUAGGGUAGAAAUAUCGAAAUACCCCUGUAGGGUAGAAUUACUGAGAUACCCUUGUGAGGUAAAAUUACCAUUUUGCCCCUAGGGUGUUAAAUGACUGUUUUGCCCUUGUGGGCAAGUGACUGACUUGGACUGUGUGUUUGACGGAUUUGAUUGUGAAUAUAUGUUGGUGAUAUGAAUGACUUGACUGUGAUUGUUUGAUUCAAAUAUGGGCAUGACAUUCUGCAUACAUGACAUGUUGCAUGGGUUGGGAUUUUGUAUGGAGGAAGCAUUCUAGUGGCUAUGCCACAAAUAUCUGUUCUGGUGGCUCUGCCACAAUAUCUGUAUCUGGUGACUCUGUCACAAUAUCUGUUGACCGAUCGAUGGCUGAGUGCCGAUCAUGUUACCGAAGGCUGUGUGCCGUUGUUGUGGGCUUCGUGUCGAUUAUAGACCCGUUAUUAAUGGCUCUGUGCCAACCUAAAUAUGGCUUUAUGCCAUCUUGACUAUGGCUUCGUGCCAAACGUAUUUACCUAUAGCUAUGUGCCUAACAUAUUUGUUGACGACUCUGUGUCGAUCAUAUUUACCGAAGGCUGUGAGCUAGUUAUAUUACCGUCACUGAUAGCUAUGUGCCGAAGUUAUUACAGUUAUCUAUGGCUUUGUGCCACGUAUUCUGUUAGGUGGGUUUGCCACAUUAUCUGAUUCUGGUUGCUCUGCCAUAAUAUCUGUAUCUGGUGACUCUGUCACGAUAUCUGUUCUGGCAGCCAUGCUGCAAAUUCUAUGGUGUAGUGGAUGGGUGGGUCGAGUUGUCUCCCCACAUGGUGUAAGGUUGGUACGGGGGUGUAUACGGCUGGAUUGGGUUGGGAUUGCAUUCACAUUCUGAUUCUGAUUCUGUCACGUAAUUCUGAUUCUGAUUCUGAUUCUGUUACUAAUACUGAUUCUGAUUCUGUGACUAAUACUGAUUCUGAUUCUGAUUCUGUUACUGAUUCUGAUUUUGAUUCUGUCACCUAAUUCUGAUUCUGAUUCUGAUUCUGUUACUAAUACUGAUUCUAAUUCUGAUUCUGUUACUGAUUCUGAUUCUGAUUCUCAUUUUGGUUCCAAUUCUGAUAAUGUUUCUUAUUCUGUAAUGGGCUAAGGUCCAUCUGGUACUGUCUGUUGUAAUGGUCUAAGGCCGAUUGGUACUGAAAUUGUAAGUAAGGCUGGGGCCAGACUUUUAAUUCUUUUAGAUGAUUGACUGUUCCUUUUUAUAGUAGGGGAUUUCACACUGAGUUUUUGUAAACUCACCCCGUUUAUUAACCUUUCAGGUAAUUUCUAGCCUUAGAUGGAUCGGGGCUGCGAGGGGCUCGGAGGAAGCCACACACACUAUUUAUGUUACAGUUUUUAUUAUUACCUUUAAAUUAUUUUAUGUGGGUUGUAGUAAAGCCG
rnacentral:lncRNA from 1 species